rnacentral:tRNA from 1 species
CUUUUAAAGGAUAGAAGUAAUCCACUGGUUUUAGAAACCACCCACCCU